rnacentral:rRNA from 1 species
UACGGAGGGUGCAAGCGUUAUCCGGAUUUACUGGGUUUAAAGGGUGCGUAGGUGGACAAUUAAGUCAGUUGGUGAAAUCUCCGGGCUUAACCCGGAAACUGCCAUUGAUACUACUUGUCUUGAAUACUUUGGAGGUAAGCGGAAUAUGUCAUGUAGCGGUGAAAUGCUUAGAUAUGACAUAGAACACCAAUUGCGAAGGCAGCUUACUACACAGUAAUUGACACUGAGGCACGAAAGCGUGGGGAUCAAACAGG